rfam:Myotis davidii contig180310, whole genome shotgun sequence.
GGCAGUUCUCAGGUGAUGCACCCUGGAAUUGGGCUCCUUCCUCUGGUUCUGGGUGCGUCACCCGAGAACCGCC